AACGAACGCUGGCGGCGUGCCUAACACAUGCAAGUCGAACGGAGAUAAGAAGCUUGCUUCUUAUUUUAGUGGCGCACGGGUGAGUAACGCGUGGAUAAUCUACCUGACGCUCUGGGAUAACAUCUCGAAAGGGGUGCUAAUACCGGAUAAGCCCACGAGACCUUCGGGUCAUGCGGGAAAAGGAGGGGACCUUCGGGCCUUCCGACAUCAGAUGAGUCCGCGUCCCAUUAGCUAGUUGGCGGGGUAAUGGCCCACCAAGGCUACGAUGGGUAGCUGGUCUGAGAGGAUGAUCAGCCACACUGGAACUGAGACACGGUCCAGACUCCUACGGGAGGCAGCAGUGGGGAAUUUUGCGCAAUGGGGGAAACCCUGACGCAGCAACGCCGCGUGAGUGAUGAAGGCUUUCGGGUCGUAAAGCUCUGUCAGAAGGGAAGAAAUGUAGGUGGCUAAUAUCCAUUCUACUUGACGGUACCUUCAAAGGAAGCACCGGCUAACUCCGUGCCAGCAGCCGCAGUAACAC
rnacentral:rRNA from 1 species